rnacentral:lncRNA from 1 species
GUGAGGAGCGUGUAGAUCAGAUGUGGAGAGCUUGUUUUUUUCUUGUUUUGGAUUUCAUAUGGAAGAGAAGGUUGAGGAGAAGUGGUGGUGAAAUGCAGCCAGUUUAUUUACAAACAACAAACCAAGUUUAAAUGGAGGAACAAAAGCAUACCAGAUGACAAACAGUGAGGUAAGUAAACAGAAAUAUGAAAACAUGUUGACACAAAUUACUUUGAAACAAGUUCAGAUUGUGAUGCUGUGA